UACGAAGGGGGCUAGCGUUGUUCGGAAUUACUGGGCGUAAAGCGCACGUAGGCGGAUAUUUAAGUCAGGGGUGAAAUCCCGGGGCUCAACCCCGGAACUGCCUCUGAUACUGGGUAUCUUGAGUGUGGUAGAGGUAAGUGGAAUUGCGAGUGUAGAGGUGAAAUUCGUAGAUAUUCGCAGGAACACCAGUGGCGAAGGCGGCUUACUGGACCACAACUGACGCUGAGGCACGAAGGCCAGGGGAGCAAACGGG
rnacentral:rRNA from 1 species